UCCACCCUCACUAGACACACAAACCUCGCUGUUCACACUUUAGAACACCUGAAAGUGCACGUCUCAAAGUCGUUUUUUGGGUGGGCUGAGGGGCUAAGGAGUCUAGGUUUGCACAGACAUCACGUUGUUUACCACCCCCACGCCCCAUUUUUGUCCAAGGGGAAACUAAGUCUCCAGGGCAAAGUGGCGCCUCGCGGGUGGGCCAGGAAAGGGACUGUGCUAGUGGCUGGGCUCCAUCUCCUCGCCGCCUUGCCAGACGCUGCUCUGUGCCAGCGGGGGCGGCGGUGGUGGGAGCAGGCGGCUGUUUGGGGAGUUUGCUGCCAUUCUAGGUUUCUUAGAGAUGGAGUUAUCAGUGGGUGUCGAUCUCCCUAAAUGGAGGAAUCGGGUUCUUUGAAAUCCCAGGAUAUGCCCAGAGAAUUUUCAAGGGGGAAAUCUCUCUGUGCAAUCAACACCCACUCAAGUCAAGAAAAGUGGGUGAGGUCGGCAGGCUUGAACUGGAGCUGGUUGCAGCGAUUGCCCCCCCCCACACGCCCGCGCGCUCCUGCACGGACUGGGAGGGGUUAGAGACUCCGGUCUACAGGUGAAUCAGGAGAACCUGCCAGUUUUAGGGUGGAGGAGGAGAAACGUGCGGGAGGUGCGAGGGAGGCCUAGGCAAGAACCAAGAGCCAGCCAGCCAGCCACCCCAGGUCUCGAACCCGGAGAGAGAGGCACUGUGUUCCUGACUUCUUUCUGGAACCAGAGUGCCAAGCCACAAAAAAGACGCCCGAGAGAGGAUCGAGACCCCCGUGGUGUAUGAAGCAGGUGACUUAAUCCUCUGCGCUCCUCAUGGGCGAUGUCCUAAGACUAGUUUUCUGUCUGGAAAUUAAAAUCACCGGUCGUCAUGAACACGCUGCUUUAGGGUAGAGGUGGGGAGUGGAAAGGCUUAGGACUCUGGUGCAGACCCAGAGCGGCCCGGAGUAGCGUGGGAUGGCGAGGCUCACUCGCCCGCACACCCGACCCAGGCCAGACGUCGCGCGUGGGGAAACUCAAGGGCGGCUGAGUCGCGGCUGGAGCUGGGUAAGCGGGCCACGGCGCGGCGGUUUCAUCAGGGACGGGGAGCCUGACCCUGGCCGAACACUCCUCCAACCCCCUCCCCACCCACCCCUCCUGCAAAGGUGGAGCUGAAGGCAUCGUCACUGGAGGCUCGGAAUCCAGCGAAAAGGAGCAGCUUUCCCCUUUCCCAACGUUUGGACUUUGUCCCGGGAGUAGUCCAGUAAGCAAGCGCUUCUGCCCGGAGUGAGAUCCGGCACCCAGCUCCUUCCUCUCUCAGCCCGGCCAGGGUCCUCGCACCCCGGCCGCCUCCCGCGUCCCGUAUCCGCCCCAGGGCUCCACGGACGACACCUCUCUCCGUGGCAAACCUCGCAGGCCCCUUUUCCCUGCGAGGAGACAGUCUCCCAAGGAACUCCUAAUACCAUCCAUGCAGCUUUAAUGCGCUUAUAAUUCGAUAAGUGAUUUCAAUUUGAAAUUGUUAGUAACUAAUUUUAUGGAUAAUUUUUCCACAUCAAAUAUUUAAGCAUCAGAUUAAGGGCGCCAGUUCCGACGCAGGAUCAUAAGGGGGUUUCUCCCCACCCACCACCCACCUCUUGAUCCCCGAGCUCCGCCUCCCUCCGGCCUCCUACCGCGUCGUUUUUCCAAAUCCCCAAAAGGUGGCAGUCGAAGCCGACUUUCCUCUUUUCCUGCCGCUCUAAAGAAAGAACCGGGGUGGGGGACGGCGGGGGAGGGGUGGGGCGAGAAGAGGGCCGGGAGGGACUGGACCGUGCCUGGGCUUCGCAAGCUGAGCCUUUAACACGUUGCCACCACCGCACUAGCAAGAGCAGAGGCGAAUUUCCUGGAAACAUCUCGAUCCAAAGCAGCGUGCCUGGAGCCCUGGGGUCGGGGUGCGGGCGGCCUUGCACAGAAGAGGGAGAAGCAGUGAGGGACCCACCGACUUCUUCCUUUUCUUCUCUCUCUCUCUCUCUCUCUCUCUCUCUCUCUCUCUCUCUCUCUCUCUCUCUCUCUCUCUCUCUCUCUCUCUCUCUCUCUCUCUCUCUCUCUCUCUCUCUCUCUCUCUCUCUCUCUCUCUCUCUCUCUCUCUCUUUGUAGCUUAAUGUUGUCUAUACUGUACAACCAAACUUGGUUCUUCGAGGCUCUGCGAACUGCAUAAUGGAGGGGGGUGAGUGAGGAGGGAGGAGGGGGCGCAGCGGAUGAAUUGCAGAGCAGUUGCCAAACUUUUUUUUUCCUCCCUGCUGCCGCUGCUGCGGCUGCCGGUGCUGCAGCCUUUGCUUUGAAUGUGUGUAACUAGGAAACAGCAAGCCGUCUGAGAAGACGGAAUUUCCAACGUGUAAAAUGUUCUUAACGGAACCAUUGAGCGAGUGCAAUAAGGCGUGAGGGGGAACUAAUCUUCCCAUUUAAAUGUUUGUGGCAAUUUUAUCUAAAUGAAUUUUAAUGCUAAACGAGGGUAAUUCCCCAUUUGUAGCGCGUUUGCUUCUUUCCUGUGCUUCUAAAGCAGUCGAACAUCGUGCAAUGAACAAUAACAGUAAAAACACUGCCAAGGCA